UUUAAUAUACGUGUACUUACGUGUUUAUAAAUUGAUUGCUUACUUGAGAGUUCAAAACACAAUAAUACGUUUUAUUCUUACAGAAGUAUUGUUUUUGCAAAAUGGCGGACGGAGCAGAAAGUACGUUUAAUCCACAAAACCCAAAUAAUUUUAAUGUUGAAGCAAAGUUUCUUUUAAUACCUGGCUUUGUCAUAGUAUGUUUAGCUCUAUUCUUAGUUUAUCGCUUGCUAACGAGCUAUAAAAAAAAGGAGCUUGAAAAGCUUGAAAAGAAGAGAAAAAAGGAAGAAAAGAAAAAGAAAUGAUUUUAUUUAAAGUUAUAACUGAAUUGUAAUAUAGUCAAGAAUAAAAGUAUAAACAGUUAA